rnacentral:rRNA from 1 species
CGAGUGGCGAACGGGUGAGUAAUACAUCGGAACGUGCCCGAUCGUGGGGGAUAACGGAGCGAAAGCUUUGCUAAUACCGCAUACGAUCUACGGAUGAAAGCGGGGGAUCUUCGGACCUCGCGCGGACGGAGCGGCCGAUGGCAGAUUAGGUAGUUGGUGGGAUAAAAGCUUACCAAGCCGACGAUCUGUAGCUGGUCUGAGAGGAUGAUCAGCCACACUGGGACUGAGACACGGCCCAGACUCCUACGGGAGGCAGCAGUGGGGAAUUUUGGACAAUGGGGGCAACCCUGAUCCAGCCAUGCCGCGUGAGUGAAGAAGGCCUUCGGGUUGUAAAGCUCUUUCGGCCGGGAAGAAAUCGUGUGGGCUAAUACCCUGCAUGGAUGACGGUACCGGAAUAAGAAGCACCGGCUAACUACGUGCCAGCAGCCGCGGUAAUACGUAGGGUGCGAGCGUUAAUCGGAAUUACUGGGCGUAAAGCGUGCGCAGGCGGUUUUUUAAGACAGGCGUGAAAUCCCCGGGCUUAACCUGGGAACUGCGCUUGUGACUGGAAGGCUAGAGUACGGCAGAGGGGGGUGGAAUUCCACGUGUAGCAGUGAAAUGCGUAGAGAUGUGGAGGAACACCGAUGGCGAAGGCAGCCCCCUGGGCCGAUACUGACGCUCAUGCACGAA